rnacentral:rRNA from 1 species
UACGAAGGGGGCUAGCGUUGCUCGGAAUUACUGGGCGUAAAGGGCGCGUAGGCGGGUCUUUAAGUCAGGGGUGAAAUCCUGGAGCUCAACUCCAGAACUGCCUUUGAUACUGAGGAUCUUGAGUUCGGGAGAGGUGAGUGGAACUGCGAGUGUAGAGGUGAAAUUCGUAGAUAUUCGCAAGAACACCAGUGGCGAAGGCGGCUCACUGGCCCGAUACUGACGCUGAGGCACGAAAAGCGUGGGGGAGCAAACAGGG